AGUGGCGGACGGGUGAGUAACGCGUGAGAAUCUGCCUUGGGGUCGGGGACAACCACUGGAAACGGUGGCUAAUACCGGAUAAGCCGAUUGGUGAAAGAUUUAUUGCCCGAAGAGGAGCUCGCGUCUGAUUAGCUAGUUGGUGAGGUAAGAGCUCACCAAGGCAGCGAUCAGUAGCUGGUCUGAGAGGACGAUCAGCCACACUGGGACUGAGACACGGCCCAGACUCCUACGGGAGGCAGCAGUGGGGAAUUUUCCGCAAUGGGCGAAAGCCUGACGGAGCAAGACCGCGUGAGGGAGGAAGGCUCUUGGGUUGUAAACCUCUUUUCUCAGGGAAGAAGCUCUGACGGUACCUGAGGAAUCAGCCUCUGCUAACUCCGUGCCAGCAGCCGCGGUAAUACGGAGGAGGCAAGCGUUAUCCGGAAUUAUUGGGCGUAAAGCGUCCGCAGGUGGCGAUUCAAGUCUGCUGUCAAAGCACGGGGCUUAACUCCGUAAAGGCAGUGGAAACUGAAUAGCUAGAGUGCCGUAGGGGUAGAGGGAAUUCCCGGUGUAGCGGUGAAAUGCGUAGAGAUCGGGAAGAACAUCGGUGGCGAAAGCGCUCUACUGGACGGCAACUGACACUCAGGGACGAAAGCUAGGGGAGCGAAUGGGAUUAGAUACCCC
rnacentral:rRNA from 1 species